rnacentral:rRNA from 1 species
GAGCGAACGUUUGCGGCGGGCUUAACACAUGCAAGUCGAACGAGAAUCCCUUCGGGGAGGAAAGUGGCGCACGGGUGCGUAACACGUGGAUGACCUACCCCUUGGUUCGGGACAACAGCGGGAAACUGCUGCUAAUACCGGAUGUGUCGUAGCAAUACGAGAAAGGCCCGCAAGGGUCGCCAGAGGACGGGUCCGCGUCCCAUCAGCUAGUUGGUGAGGUAAUGGCUCACCAAGGCGAAGACGGGUAGCUGGUCUGAGAGGAUGAUCAGCCACACUGGAACUGAGACACGGUCCAGACUCCUACGGGAGGCAGCAGUGGGGAAUAUUGCGCAAUGGGCGAAAGCCUGACGCAGCCACGCCGCGUGAGCGAUGAAGGUCUUCGGAUCGUAAAGCUCUGUGGGGGGAGAAGAAGAAAGUCGGUGAAGAGCCGACCCUGACGGUAUCCCUUAGCAAGCACCGGCUAACUCCGUGCCAGCAGCCGCGGUAAUACGGAGGGUGCAAACGUUGCUCGGAAUCAUUGGGACG